UACAGAGGUGGCAAGCGUUGUUCGGAAUUACUGGGCGUAAAGGGCGCGUAGGCGGCCUUCUAAGUCAGACGUGAAAUCCCCCGGCUUAACCUGGGAACUGCGUCUGAUACUGGGAGGCUCGAGUAUGGGAGAGGGAUGUAGAAUUCCAGGUGUAGCGGUGAAAUGCGUAGAUAUCUGGAGGAAUACCGGUGGCGAAAGCGGCGCUCUGGGCCUAAACUGACGCUGAGGGGCGAAAGCGUGGGGAGCGAACGGG
rnacentral:rRNA from 1 species